AUCACAUUCUUUGCAAAUCCUUUUGAGGAGUGAAAACAAAACACCAGUUCAUAUUUCAAUAAGUUACCCUUCCAUGUUAUUCAGGGAAGGAAGCUGGGAAACAGAAAUAUUUCACUUACUUUGGGAGAAGCAAAAUGAGCAUGCAGAGUUUCAGUUCAGGAUGCUGAAGACAAGAAGAAACACACAGUAGGGCUGAAAGUGAAAGGGGGUAUGAGAUUUGCCCUUUCCAUGUUCAGAAACGAGAGACCAGGACUCCUCUUUCAUUCGGUAAGGUUAAAAUUUCCAACAUAACUUGAGUCUCACCUGAAGAUACACACAUCUGUCCCCAGUCACCGUUAUGGCAUAUUCCCC